rnacentral:rRNA from 1 species
CCUACGGGAGGCAGCAGUGGGGAAUUUUGGACAAUGGACGCAAGUCUGAUCCAGCCAUUCCGCGUGCAGGACGAAGGCCUUCGGGUUGUAAACUGCUUUUGUACAGAACGAAAAGGUUUCUCUUAAUACGAGGGGCUCGUGACGGUACUGUAAGAAUAAGCACCGGCUAACUACGUGCCAGCAGCCGCGGUAAUACGUAGGGUGCAAGCGUUAAUCGGAAUUACUGGGCGUAAAGCGUGCGCAGGCGGUUAUAUAAGACAGAUGUGAAAUCCCCGGGCUCAACCUGGGAACUGCAUUUGUGACUGUAUAGCUGGAGUACGGUAGAGGGGGAUGGAAUUCCGCGUGUAGCAGUGAAAUGCGUAGAUAUGCGGAGGAACACCGAUGGCGAAGGCAAUCCCCUGGACCUGUACUGACGCUCAUGCACGAAAGCGUGGGGAGCAAACAGGAUUAGAUACCCUGGUAGUCCACGCCCUAAACGAUGUCAACUGGUUGUUGGGUCUUCACUGACUCAGUAACGAAGCUAACGCGUGAAGUUGACCGCCUGGGGAGUACGGCCGCAAGGUUGAAACUUAAAUUGAAUUGACGGCUUGNGAGNGCGAGAGACACGAGGAGAGG